rnacentral:rRNA from 1 species
AAUUUAAACCGUACUUCAAACCAACGCAGGUGGACAACAAGAAUAUUGACAGGCCAAGAAUCAAUCAUGUAUAGGGAACUCGGCAAAUUGUUCCUUAAACUUCGGUAUAAGGGAAUCCCUUUCUCAAAGGGGAAGAAUAUAAAAGAUAGCAACGACUGUUUACCAAAAACUCAAGACUAUGCAAAGAAAAUCCAAGUAUAUAGUCUGACGCCUGCCCAACGGCUAUUGGCAAACGGCAGCUGUAACUCUAACAGUUCUAUGGUAGCGAAAUUCCUUGACACUUAAUUGGUGUCCCGCAUGAAUGGCGUAACGAUUGCUAUGCUGUCCCAUACAUGAGUUCUGUGAAUUUGAAUUACCCGUGCAGAUGCGGGUGUGGGAUCACUGGACGAAGAGACCCUAUGCACCUUCAC